UGGGGAAUAUUGGACAAUGGGCGAAAGCCUGAUCCAGCCAUGCCGCGUGUGUGAAGAAGGCCUUUUGGUUGUAAAGCACUUUAAGCGAGGAGGAGGCUACUUAGAUUAAUACUCUAGGAUAGUGGACGUUACUCGCAGAAUAAGCACCGGCUAACUCUGUGCCAGCAGCCGCGGUAAUACAGAGGGUGCGAGCGUUAAUCGGAUUUACUGGGCGUAAAGCGUGCGUAGGCGGCUUCUUAAGUCGCAUGUGAAAUCCCUGAGCUUAACUUAGGAAUUGCAUUCGAUACUGGGAAGCUAGAGUAUGGGAGAGGAUGGUAGAAUUCCAGGUGUAGCGGUGAAAUGCGUAGAGAUCUGGAGGAAUACCGAUGGCGAAGGCAGCCAUCUGGCCUAAUACUGACGCUGAGGUACGAAAGCAUGGGGAGCAAACAGG
rnacentral:rRNA from 1 species